AGCUGGCCAGCGGUCCUUGCCUGGCCAGAGAGCCAAAGCCUGCGCCCUCCGACGGGGCGGCCGGGGCAGGAGCCUUUCGCCCUGCCUGCCUGCCUCCGGACGCCCGCGGAAGAUGCUCCCCACCCGGGCAGGCUCGAGGAGCCAGGAUGGGGCGCCCUCACCCUGGGAGAGGGCAAGAAGGGAGCUGAGGGUCCGGGACGGAGGGACUCUCACCGCAGCUGCGCCGAGCGCUCGGCACCCCGCCCCGGACCGGGUCUCGGGCGGAGGCGCUCUGCACUGGGGCCGUCAACCGCAGCCAGGGACGGACAAAGCACCGGGGUCUGCGGCGACCCCGGGCGGCGGCCGCGGGCCAAGUUAGCGAGGCUCGGGGGCCGCGGGGGUCCCGCGGACAGGGCGGCGCGGCACUGACCUGGAUGGUGCAGGUGUACUCGCUGUCGUCCAGCAGCCGCACGGUGCAGCUGUACUCGCGCUCCAGGCUCCUGCUGCUGCCGCUCAUCAACCUGCUCAGCAUCUUCCCGCCCGCCCGCCCCCGGGAGAGACGCGGCGGCGCUGCGGACCCCGGACCAGGCGCCCCUCAGCCGGGCAGCUCCGCGCGGGCCCCGGGCACCUGCACCAUCACCCCAGCCCGGUCGCGGCCGCUGCCUCCUGCCGGCCCAGCUCCUCCUUCUUCUCCUCCUCCUUCUCCGCCACCGCCUCCCUCUAGCCCAGAGCAAGCGCCCCGCUCUCUCUCCUCCGCGCCCCACUCCCCAUGCCCAGCUCUUGGGGCGGGGCCUCGGCCGGAGAGGGGCCAAUGGGGGUCAGCGCGGCGGAACCGAGUGGCAGGCGGUAGAGCCAAUCGAAAUAGCGUACUGGGAUGAUGGACAGGUGACGGAAGCAAUCACGGGAAAGCAGUCGGACAGAGCCCAGCGGCACCAGCCCUCUGGCGUCCCAAACUAGGGGCUCUUCUCUGCUCUGCGGUUCCUGUAGAAGCUGUUUCCCCUCCCCCGGGCCAGAAGACAAAAGGAAGAGACUGAGGUGUGUUCCUUCAGCCAGUAGGGUGCAGAGGAAUUGAUGGGUCCUUUCCUUGCACCUUCAGAACUAGAAUUACCAUAUUUUCAGACUUCAUCAACGAAACACCAGAGUAUGUCAGGAGGUAUAUGUCUCAAAGAAAAAAAAAAUUGCUGCCCUUUGUGACCCCACAUCUAAAGAUCUUAUGUUCUUUACGAAAACUUCACCAAGAAACAUUCAAUAUUGAGUGACUCAAAAUUUGUUGAUGGAAGGAAAUGUUAUAUAAAAGAAUCAUAUCAACAUAACAUUAAUGCAGUAAUAAAUAUAUUAAUUGAAAAAUAA